GACGAACCGAGCGAACGUUAUUCGGAAUCACUGGGCUUAAAGGGCGCGUAGGCGGGCCAUCAAGUCAGGGGUGAAAGCCCCCAGCUCAACUGGGGAAGUGCCUUUGAUACUGGUGGUCUCGAGGGGGAUAGGGGCAUGCGGAACUUCCGGUGGAGCGGUGAAAUGCGUAGAUAUCGGAAGGAACACCGGGUGGCGAAAGCGGCGUGCUGGAUCCCUUCUGACGCUGAGGCGCGAAAGCCAGGGGAGCGAACGGGG
rnacentral:rRNA from 1 species